rnacentral:rRNA from 1 species
AUACCAGCUCUCCGAGUGGUGUGGAUGUUUAUUGGGCCUAAAGCAUCCGUAGCUGGCUAGGUCAGUCCUUUGUUAAAUCCACCGAAUUAAUCGUUGGAUUGCGGGGGAUACUGCUUGGCUAGGGGACGAGAGAGGCAGACGGUAUUUCCGGGGUAGGGGUGAAAUCCUAUAAUCCCGGGAAGACCACCAGUGGCGAAGGCUGUCUGCUAGAACGCGCCCGACGGUGAGGGAUGAAAGCUGGGGGAGCGAACCGGAUUAGAUACCCGGGUAGUCCCAGCUGUAAACGAUGCAGGCUAGGUGUUUGGACGGCCACGUGCCGUUCUAGUGCCGCAGGGAAGCUGUUAAGCCUGCCGCCUGGGGAGUACGAUCGCAAGAUUGAA